GACGAACGCUGGCGGCGUGCUUAACACAUGCAAGUCGAACGGAAAGGCCCUGCUUGCAGGGUACUCGAGUGGCGAACGGGUGAGUAACACGUGGGUGAUCUGCCCUGCACUUCGGGAUAAGCUUGGGAAACUGGGUCUAAUACCGGAUAGGAACCAUCUUUAGUGUGGUGGUUGGAAAGUUUUUUCGGUGUAGGAUGAGCUCGCGGCCUAUCAGCUUGUUGGUGGGGUAAUGGCCUACCAAGGCGGCGACGGGUAGCCGGCCUGAGAGGGUGUACGGCCACAGUGGGGCUGAGAUACGGCCCAGACUCCUACGGGAGGCAGCAGUGGGGAAUAUUGCACAAUGGGCGCAAGCCUGAUGCAGCGACGCCGCGUGGGGGAUGAAGGCCUUCGGGUUGUAAACUCCUUUCGCUAGGGACGAAGCUUUGCUGUGACGGUACCUAGAUAAGAAGCACCGGCUAACUACGUG
rnacentral:rRNA from 1 species